CUUUUGUUUUUUUUUUUUUUUAAGGGGAAGGGCCCAGUCUUGGAACCGAUGUACCAAGUACCAACUGGGUCUGGGCUAACUCCAGUUUGUGUAUGAUUCAAUCUGUAAAAAUGUAGGGACAUUACAUGUCCAUCAUAGUUGCAAAGAAAUAAGCUAAUUCUAGCCUAUUAACUGAGCAAAUAUAAUUUGAAAACCAUAGAUGAAAGAAGAUAAAUUUGUAUCAUAAAUUAGCAGAAAAAUCCAACUCAAAAUUUAGUAUUUUAUAAGUGAACCACUAUACUACUAUUUGAACAACAAUACCAUUGCCUAGAUAUGAAACGCAAAUUUUGUAUCCAUAUAAUGCUCAAUUGAGUACCGUAUGGACAAUGGAGCUAUUUUGGAUUGCGCCAAAUAUUAAUUCUACUUGACUGAACUUUAAUAACUAAACGUGCUAGUGCAUUGUGUGCUUAUAAAUCUCAAUGGCUG
rnacentral:misc_RNA from 1 species